rnacentral:rRNA from 1 species
AGCGCGUCCAAGCUGGUAGGGAGAACAGGUAGGCAAAUCCGCAUGUUCAUAUCCUGAGAAGUGAUGGGGAGCGAAAAACAAGUAGCGAAGCGGUUGAAUCCACACUGUCAAGAAAAGCCACUAUCGAGAAUCAAGGUGCCCGUACCGCAAACCGACACAGGUGGGUGAGGAGAGAAUCCUAAGACGAACGGGAGAACUAUUGUUAAGGAACUCGGCAAAAUGACCCCGUAACUUCGGGAGAAGGGGUGCCGGGCGAGGUGAAUAAAGAACAUUAGGAGCCUUGCUCGGCCGCAGUGAAUAGGCCCAAGCGACUGUUUAGCAAAAACACAGGUCUCUGCAAAGUCGAAAGACGAAGUAUAGGGGCUGACGCCUGCCCGGUGCUGGAAGGUUAAGGGGAAGAGUUAGGGUAACCGAAGCUUGGAACUUAAGCCCCAGUAAACGGCGGCCGUAACUAUAACGGUCCUAAGGUAGCGAAAUUCCUUGUCGGGUAAGUUCCGACCCGCACGAAAGGCGUAACGAUUUGGGCACUGUCUCAACAAUAGACCCGGUGAAAUUGUAAUACCAGUGAAGAUGCUGGUUACCUGCGACAGGACGGAAAGACCCCGUGGAGCUUUACUGCAGCCUGACAUUGGAUUUUGGUACGGAAUGUACAGGAUAGGUGGGAGACUAAGAACCCAGGACGCCAGUCUUGGAGGAGUCGACGUUGGGAUACCACUCUUUUCGUACUGGAAUUCUAACCACGGACCGUAAACCGGUUCUGGGACACUGUCAGGCGGGCAGUUUGACUGGGGCGGUCGCCUCCCAAAGAGUAACGGAGGCGCUCAAAGGUUCCCUCAGCACGGUCGGAAAUCGUGCGAAGAGUGUAAAGGCAGAAGGGAGCUUGAAUGCGAGACCUACAAGUCGAGCAAGGACGAAAGUCGGACUUAGUGAUCCGGUGGUACCGCGUGGAAGGGCCAUCGCUCAACGGAUAAAAGCUACCCCGGGGAUAACAGGCUUAUCUCCCCCAAGAGUCCACAUCGACGGGGAGGUUUGGCACCUCGAUGUCGGCUCAUCACAUCCUGGGGCUGAAGUAGGUCCCAAGGGUUGGGCUGUUCGCCCAUUAAAGUGGUACGCGAGCUGGGUUCAGAACGUCGUGAGACAGUUCGGUCCCUAUCCGUCGCAGGCGUUGGAAAUUUGAGAGGAACUGUCCUUAGUACGAGAGGACCGGGAUGGACAUACCGCUGGUGAACCAGUUGUUCUGCCAAGAGCAUCGCUGGGUAGCUACGUAUGGCAGGGAUAAGUGCUGAAGGCAUCUAAGCACGAAGCCCGCCUCAAGAUGAGAUUUCCCACUCCGUAAGGAGGUAAGACCCCAGAAAGACGAUCUGGUAGAUAGGCCGGAGGUGGAAGUGCAGUAAUGUAUGGAGCUGACCGGUACUAAUGGUACGAGGACUUGACCUA